rnacentral:rRNA from 1 species
UACGAAGGGUGCAAGCGUUACUCGGAAUUACUGGGCGUAAAGCGUGCGUAGGUGGUUCGUUAAGUCUGAUGUGAAAGCCCUGGGCUCAACCUGGGAAUGGCAUUGGAUACUGGCGAUCUAGAGUGCGGUAGAGGGCAGUGGAAUUCCCGGUGUAGCAGUGAAAUGCGUAGAGAUCGGGGAGGAACAUCUGUGGCGAAGGCGACUGCCUGGACCAGCACUGACACUGAGGCACGAAAGCGUGGGGAGCAAACAGG